AGGAAAGAAAAUGCGUGGAAAUAGAAAGGUGGUCUUCUGUUCGCUGGGAAAAGGCCACUCCUUCAGGCGUUACUCGCUUAUUUAUACUCUGCGCAUUGUUGUUCAGUUAUAUACACGAUCGGCCACUUCCCUAUUUUCAUGAGCCACUACAAGCCGAUCCUAACCGCUCAAAACCGCUUGUGGUUAUGCUGUUAUUCCUUUUUACUCUCGGUGCACCAAAUGUCAUUUAACCCCAGCUUUUAAGAUUCCCAGCUGGGCCAUGCACCG
rnacentral:lncRNA from 1 species